CACGUAGGGCGCAAGCGUUGUCCGGAAUUAUUGGGCGUAAAGAGCUCGUAGGCGGUCUGUUACGUCUGCUGUGAAAACCCAGGGCUUAACCCUGGGCUUGCAGUGGAUACGGGCAGACUAGAGGCAGGUAGGGGAGAAUGGAAUUCCCGGUGUAGCGGUGAAAUGCGCAGAUAUCGAGAGGAACACCUGCGGCGAAGGCGGGUUGCUGGGCUGACACUGACGCUGAUGCGCGAAAGCCAGGGGAGCGAACGGG
rnacentral:rRNA from 1 species